GACGAACGCUGGCGGCGUGCUUAACACAUGCAAGUCGAACGGAAAGGCCCUGCUUUCGUGGGGUGCUCGAGUGGCGAACGGGUGAGUAACACGUGAGUAACCUGCCCUAGACUUUGGGAUAACUUCAGGAAACGGGGGCUAAUACCGGAUAGGAGCCCCUGCUGCAUGGUGGGGGUUGGAAAGUUUCGGCGGUUGGGGAUGGACUCGCGGCUUAUCAGCUUGUUGGUGGGGUAGUGGCUUACCAAGGCUUUGACGGGUAGCCGGCCUGGGAGGGUGGCCGGCCACAUUGGGACUGAGCUACGGCCCAGACUCCUACGGGAGGCAGCAGUGGGGAAUAUUGCACAGUGGGCGGAAGCCUGAUACAGCAACGCCGCGUGCGGGAUGACGGCCUUCGGGUUGUAAACCGCUUUCGCCUGUGACGAAGCGUGAGUGACGGUAAUGAGUAAAGAAGCACCGGCUAACUACGUG
rnacentral:rRNA from 1 species